rnacentral:misc_RNA from 1 species
GAUGAAGAACGUAGCGAAAUGCGAUAAGUAAUGUGAAUUGCAGAAUUCAGUGAAUCAUCGAAUCUUUGAACGCACAUUGCGCCCGCCAGUAUUCUGGCGGGCAUGCCUGUUCGAGCGUCAUUUCAACCAUCAAGCCCCAGGCUUGUGUUGGGGACCUGCGGCUGCCGCAGGCCCUGAAAACCAGUGGCGGGCUCGCUGUCACACCGGGCGUAGUAGAUUUUAUCUCGCUCUGGGCGUGCUGCGGGUUCCGGCCGUUAAAAAACCCUUUUAACCCAAGGUUGACCUCGGAUCAGGUAGGAAUACCCGAUGAACUUAAGCAUAUCAAUAAGCGGAGGA